UAUCAUCAACUUUGCUCUCGA
ensembl:piRNA 21ur-5004 ncRNA